rnacentral:rRNA from 1 species
UAGUGAUCAGAAGUGAGAAUGUUGACAUGAGUAGCGACAAACAGGGUGAGAGACCCUGUCGCCGAAAGUCCAAGGGUUCCUGCCUAAAGCUAAUCUGAGCAGGGUAAGCCGGCCCCUAAGGCGAGGCCGAAAGGCGUAGUCGAUGGGAACCAGGUUAAUAUUCCUGGGCCAGGAGAUGGUGACGGAUCACAGAGCUAGUGAGGUCUUAUCGGAUUGAUCUUGCUGGUGAGUGGUUCCUGGAAAUAGCCCUCCAUGAGACCGUACCCUAAACCGACACAGGUGGACUGGUAGAGAAUACCAAGGCGCUUGAGAGAACCACAUUUAAGGAACUCGGCAAAAAUACCUCCGUAAGUUCGCGAGAAGGAGGCCCCGUUUGUACGCAAGUAUGGGCGGGGGGCACAAACCAGGGGGUGGCGACUGUUUACUAAAAACACAGGGCUCUGCGAAGUCGCAAGACGACGUAUAGGGUCUGACGCCUGCCCGGUGCCGGAAGGUUAAAAGGAGAUGUGCAAGCAUUGAAUUGAAGCCCCGGUAAACGGCGGCCGUAACAAUAACGGUCCUAAGGUAGCGAAAUUCCUUGUCGGGUAAGUUCCGACCUGCACGAAUGGCGUAACGACUUCCCCGCUGUCUCAAAUGUGGACUCAGCGAAAUUGAAUUGUCUGUGAAGAUGCAGACUUCCCGCGGUUAGACGGAAAGACCCCAUGCACCUUUACUAUAGCUUCGCACUGGCAUCAGGAUUGUGAUGUGCAGGAUAGGUGGUAGGCAUUGAAACCGGGACGCCAGUUCCGGUGGAGCCAUCCUUGAGAUACCACCCUUCGCACUCUUGAUGUCUAACCGCGGCCCGUUAUCCGGGUCCGGGACCCUGCGUGGUGGGUAGUUUGACUGGGGCGGUCGCCUCCCAAAAAGUAACGGAGGCGCGCGAAGGUUGGCUCAGAGCGGUCGGAAAUCGCUCGUUGAGUGCAAUGGCAGAAGCCAGCCUGACUGCAAGACUGACAAGUCGAGCAGAGACGAAAGUCGGCCAUAGUGAUCCGGUGGUCCCGAGUGGAAGGGCCAUCGCUCAACGGAUAAAAGGUACGCUGGGGAUAACAGGCUGAUGAUGCCCGAGAGUCCAUAUCGACGGCAUCGUUUGGCACCUCGAUGUCGGCUCAUCUCAUCCUGGGGCUGGAGCAGGUCCCAAGGGUAUGGCUGUUCGCCAUUUAAAGAGGUACGUGAGCUGGGUUUAGAACGUCGUGAGACAGUUCGGUCCCUAUCUGCCGUGGGUGUAGGAUACCUGAGAGGAGUUGCCCCUAGUACGAGAGGACCGGGGUGAACGUUCCACUGGUGGACCAGUUGUCGUGCCAACGGCAGUGCUGGGUAGCUAUGAACGGACAGGAUAAACGCUGAAGGCAUCUAAGCGUGAAGCCCCCCUCAAAACAAGGUAUCCCUUGAGAGCCGUGGAAGACCACCACGUCGAUAGGCCGGAGAUGUAAGCGCAGCAAUGUGUUCAGUUGACCGGUACUAAUGGCCCAA